CGUAGGAUCCGAGCGUUGUCCGGAUUUACUGGGUGUAAAGGGUGCGCGGGCGGACUGGUAAGUCAGAGGUGAAAUCUCGUCGCUCAACGACGAAACUGCCUUUGAUACUAUCAGUCUUGAAUCCGGUAGAGAUCUGUGGAAUUCCGAGUGUAGCAGUGAAAUGUGUAGAUAUUCGGAAGAACACCAGUGGCGAAGGCAGCAGAUUGGGCCGGUAUUGACGCUCAGGCACGAAAGCAUGGGGAUCAAACAGGAUUAGAGACCCUGGUAGUCCAUGCCCUAAACGAUGUUCACUUGAUGUCCGCCCUCAGGGUAGGUGUCGAAGCUAACGCGAUAAGUGAACCACCUGGGGAGUACGCUCGCAAGGGUG
rnacentral:rRNA from 1 species